ensembl:lncRNA
CAAAUUUGGUAUGCCUAAUCUAAAGGCCUUUGCGAUGUUAAAUUGCGAAGAUCUUGAGUUUUCGUUGAAGGGCGUGUCCGUGGCGGCCUGACGAAUUUCGAUGAUUCGCCAUGAAAAAUGAAGUUGCUAUAACUCAGACAUACAAUGUCCAAUCUGCCCCAAACUUCACAUGUUUGAUAAGACUCCUGACCUGAACAGAUUGAUAUGCCCAUAUUCAGUUAUAGUAAUAGUGCCACCUACUGGCAACAGGAAGUGACAUAUUUUACGCUGUAACAAACUACCCCGAGAAAUUUUAUGACAUAAAUUUUUUUUUUUCAGUCACUCUAUUCUAAAGGCCUGUGCGAUGUUAAAUUGUGAAGAUCUUGAGUUUUCGUUAAAGGGCGUGUCCAUGGCGCCGUCACAAAGUUCGAUGUCUCGCCAUGGGAAUAAAAGUUAUUGUAACUCUGGCAUAAAAUGUCCGAUCUUGCCAAACUUCACAUGUUCGAAAAGAGUCAUGGCCUGAAGAUAUCUAAAGGCCAAUGUUCAGUUAUAAUCAUAGCGCCACCUGUUGGCAAUAGGACAGAACAUGCUUUAUACUAACUCAAACAUUCCAUGUUCAAUCUGUACUAAAUUUCAUAUGCUUGAUAAAAGUGCUGGACUGAAGAAAUCUACAUGACAAAAUCCAGUUAUAGUCAUAGCGCCACCAGCUGGCAGCAGGAAGAUUGGCACAUAUAAAUGACUUUGACAUAUUCCUCUUAUAUUUACCACAUUAAACGCAUAUUUCUCGCCCUUCGCUGUUUUACAAAAGCCACCCGGUGGUGGUGAGCCCGGGUGCGAGGGCCCGUUCAUCGCUGCUUGCAGCUUUAAUAUUUUAUCUGUUUUUGUCUCUCUUCUGAGGAAGAUGUCAUUCACUUGUAUUGGCAAUUUUGUAAGUGAACUUUCUUCCUGUUUUAAAGAUGUUUUCUUUGGAUUGUUUGACGAGAAUACAGGAACAUAGAACUUAAUUAAUUUGUGUUUCCUUCUAGCUAACUUUCACGUACAUAGCAUAAAUUUCAUGUGUAUGGCAUAAGCACAGGCUUGACGUUUAUCCUGCUUGAAUUCGUUCUAAAUAACAAGUGCACAUACUUUGAUAAGUGCUACAUUUGCUUCUGUGAAUUUGAAUUAUUUGAACUAGUUUUCUUAGAUUUCAGACCGACUGAAAGCAAUUUAUCCACUACACCGAAGUCCUCAGCGAGCCUAGUUUU